GGGGAUGGAUUGGCCCCGGUGGGCUGCGCGGUCUUCAAAACCGUUGGGGGGUUGCGGAGCAAGCCCCGGUGAGUUCGACUCUCAUGCAUCCCCG
rnacentral:tRNA from 1 species